UACGACCAUCUCACAAGGAAAAACCGGUUCCCGUACGAUCACGGAAGUUAAGCAACGGUGAGCCUGAUCAGUACCUAGAUGGAUGACCGUUUGAGAAUACCAGGU